CAAGCCGCGGUUGAAUCUCAAAGUAGGUAACCUAAUGAUGUAAAAAAAACUUGAUUAGUGACUCGAUAAUUAAACUUGGUUAUUCCUAUUAUAAAGUGGUGCAUUAUAGAUUUGUGAAAUGAAAAUGACUCUUGAAUGCAGUGUUGUUUAAAAUGAUAUUUUAGGGAUGCAUUGUUGGUUAUCCGCGAACAGAUGUAAUUAUUAAUGAAAAUUCAAAGAUAACGUAUUCUCAUCGGAUGGCUCUUAUAUCUGACGAACUUUAUAUGGAAACCAAAACAAAUUGUAAUGGUAAUUAUUAUGAGGUAGAUCCGAACCGAGCAGAAUGCUUUGAAAAUCUUCAAAAGGUCUCAAAGUUGAUUCAUGAAAUAAACAAAAAUUGCAUCCUGGAACCUAAGUGUACUUGGGCAUCACCAGAACAAAAUGGUGAAUCGGACAGACGAUCUUGUCGAAGAGGAGCAGGAAAAUUUCAUUUUCUCACCUCCAAAAAUUCCCGAAAUGUGGUGUCAUGUAAUUCUCACUCUACAUGCAUUAAUUUUUUUCUUUUUCUUUUUUAAGCGAUAAGACAUAAUUUAUAAAAGGGUUUAGCUUUUUUAAAGUUAUCUUAACUUGAGAGAGCGUCUAAACUUGGUAGGCCUAUUUUGGGACUGAUUUAAGUGAUCCGAACAGUUCAAUUUUUAAGACUUGUUGAGUAGAAUAUUCAUGUAAAAAAUCAAGAUAAUUGGAUAUCAGUAGCUAUAUGUUUUAAUCAUAUUUGUUUUACAAAAAUGAACGACAAAUGUAAUUUCAAGAAUAAUCAUUCAUUUUUUGUAAUACAAAUUUAAUCCAAACAUAUAACUACCAAUAUCCAAUCAUCUUGAUUUUUUACAAGAAUAUUCUACUUAAUGAGCCCUACAAAGUGAACGGUUUGGAUUACCGAAAUCAGUUUCAAAAUAGGUUUAUCAAGCCCAAACAUUCUCUCAUGCUGAGAUUACAAAUUUAAGAAAAACCAAAUUCAUUUAUGAAUAUCAUGAAACUAACCUCAAACUGAACAUUUAACUAUUAAAAAAAAUUAAUAAAAAUUCUUAGACAGAAUAAUAAUAUGAUUGAGUUAUACAUGUGCAGAACUUCAAUUAUGCAUUGGCUUAUUGGGGUGUUUGUUUCAGCUUUUCAGAGCCAACUUAUGGCUUUUAGCUUUGAAAAAGUUA